rnacentral:rRNA from 1 species
GGUUUGAUUCUGGCUCACUGAACGCUGGCGGGAUGCUUUACAGACAUGCAAGUCGAACGGCAGCACGGACUUCGGCUGGUGGCGAGUGGCGAACGGGUGAGUAAUGUAUCGGAACGUGCCUAGUAGCGGGGGACUACGCGAAAGCGUAGCCAAUACUGCAUACGCCCUUCGGGGAAAGCGGGGGACCUUCGGGCCUCGCAGACCAUUAGAGCGGGCUGAUAUCGGAUUAGCUAGUUGGUGGGUAACUGCCCACCAAGGCGACGAUCUGUAGCUGGUUUGAGAGGACGACCAGCCACACUGGGACUGGAGACAGCGUCACCCAGACUUACGGGAGGCAGCAGUGGGGAAUUUUUGGACAAUGGGGGGAAAACCCUGAUCCAGCCAUCCCGCGUGUGCGAUGAAGGCCUUCGGGUUGUAAAGCACUUUGGCAGGAAAAACGGCCCAGAUAAUACUCCAGCAACUGACGGUACCUGCAGAAUAAGCACCGGCUAACUACAUGUGCCAGCAGCCGCGUAAUACGUAGGUGCAAGUGUUAAUCGGAAUUACUGGGCGUAAAGUAAAGCAAGGGCGGCUCAAAAAGAAAGAUGUGAAAUCCCAGAGCUUAACUUUGAACUUACUUUAACUACCGAGCUAGAGUGUGUCAGAGGGAGGUGGAAUUCCGCGUGUAGCACAGCCUGCGUAGAUAUGCGGAGGAACACCGAUGGCGAAGGCAGCCUCCUGGGAUAACACUGACGCUCAUGCACGAAAGCGUGGGGAGCAACAGGAUUAGAUACCCUGGUAGUCCACGCCCUAAACGAUGUCAAAUUGAGCUGCUGGGGCCUUCGGGCCUUGGUGGCGCAGCUAACGCGGUGGGAAGCUUACCGCCUGGGGAGUACGGUCGCAAGAUUAAAACUCAAAGGAAUUGACGGGGACCCGCACAAGCGGUGGAUGAUGUGGAUUAAUUCAUGCAACGCGAAAACCUUACCGCAUUCCUACAUGUCUGGAAUCCCGAAGAGAUUUGGGAGUGUUUCGCAAGAGAACCCAACGCCAGGUGCUGUAUGGCUGUCGUCAGCCUUGUCGUGAGAUGUUGCUGUUCAAACGAGUGCAACCUUGUCAUUAGUUGCUACGAAAGGGCACUCUAUCGAGACUGCCGGUGACAAAACCGAGGAAGGUGGGGAUGACGUCAAGUCCUCAUGGCCCUUAUGGGUAGGGCUUCACACGUGUCAGCGGCAAUGGUCGGGACAGAGGUCGCCAACCCGCGAGGGGGAGCCAAUCCCAGAAACCCGAUCGUAGUCCGGAUCGCAGUCUGCAACUUCGACUGCAGUCGAAUCAUUAGUAAUCGCGGAUCAGCAUGUCGCGGUGAAUACGUUCCCGGCUCCGUACACACCGCCCGUCACACCAUGGGAGUGGGUUUUACCAGAAGUAGUUAGCCUAACUGCAAGGAGUGGCGAUUACCACAUAGAUUCAUGACUGGGGUGAAGUCGUACUGGC